GCAGGCUGAGGUAGUUGGUUGUAUGGUUUUGCAUCAUAAUCAGCCUGGAGUUAACUGUACAACCUUCUAGCUUUCCCUGC
rnacentral:pre_miRNA from 8 species